rnacentral:rRNA from 1 species
UACGUAGGUGGCAAGCGAUACUCGGAAUCACUAGGCGUAAAGCGCAGGUAGGCGGUUUGGUAAGUCUUUUGUGAAAGCUCCCGGCUUAACUGGGAGAGGUCAAGGGAAACUACCGGACUAGAGUGUGGUAGGGGAUACUGGAAUUCCUGGUGUAGCGGUGAAAUGCGCAGAUAUCGGGAGGAACACCAAUGGCGAAGGCAGCUCGCUGGGACGUUACUGGACGCUGAGACGGCGAAAAGCGUGGGGAGCAAACAGG